rnacentral:rRNA from 1 species
GACGAACCGUGCGAACGUUAUUCGGAAUUACUGGGCGUAAAGGGCUCGUAGGCGGCCAACUAAGUCAGACGUGAAAUCCCUCGGCUUAACCGGGGAACUGCGUCUGAUACUGGAUGGCUUGAGGUUGGGAGAGGGAUGCGGAAUUCCAGGUGUAGCGGUGAAAUGCGUAGAUAUCUGGAGGAACACCGGUGGCGAAGGCGGCAUCCUGGACCAAUUCUGACGCUGAGGAGCGAAAGCCAGGGGAGCAAACGGG